rnacentral:rRNA from 1 species
CCUACGGGUGGCUGCAGUGGGGAAUUUUGGACAAUGGGCGCAAGCCUGAUCCAGCCAUUCCGCGUGAGUGAAGAAGGCCUUCGGGUUGUAAAGCUCUUUCGCAAGGGAAGAAAACUUAUCCUCUAACAUAGGAUGAGGUUGACGGUACCUUGAUAAGAAGCACCGGCUAACUACGUGCCAGCAGCCGCGGUAAUACGUACGGAACGAGCGUUAAUCGGGCGUACGGGGGCUAAUUUGUGAGCCGGAUGUGAAAUCCCCGAGCUCAACUUGGGAACUGCGUUUGAAACUACAAGACUAGAAUAGGUCAGAGGGGGGUAGAAUUCCACGUGUAGCAGUGAAAUGCGUAGAGAUGUGGAGGAAUAUCAAUGGCGAAGGCAGCCCCCUGGGAUCAUAUUGACGCUCAUGCACGAAAGCGUGGGGAGCAAACAGGAUUAGAUACCCCUGUAGUC